rnacentral:lncRNA from 1 species
UCCAGUUGACAGUGGUACAUGACCUGGUUGCUGGUGUUUGCGACCUGUAAGAAUUAUACAAGUGGCAAACUUUCAGAUUUUGGUAGGCAUACGAUGUCUUUGUCUAACUGAUAGUCCUAACAAGCCAUGCCUUUAGUAUUUUAGAUUGUAUUUUCUAGUACAUAUUGUUUCUUGGGAUAAUCAGCAACUGAUGUCCAUGUGUUGUAUAAUUAGGGAAAAACAUACGGAUUAUUUUCUUCAUAUUAAAGGGAAGACUCUUAGACCUGAUCUGUGUUGUAUAUGCCAUUUGUUGCAUCGACUGUAUCAAGUCAAAUGGGGUCGUAGUUAGGAUUAACAUGGCUUGUUGUAUAUCAAGUUAUGCGCGUUGCAAUCAGUCUAUUUUCAUGUUGAUGCUCCACUGAAGAUGUCAUGGUUCCAUAGCGAUCC